rnacentral:sRNA from 12 species
UGUCUAAACUUACGCUUAGCGUAGGCAUGGCACAAUAUAAGAAACUCACGUGAAUGAAAAUGGUCUUCUGACCGGCACUUAUUCACGUGAGUCAAUAGCUCGAAAGGGUUAUCGGAUAGUUCCGAAAGGUUCUGUC